UACGUAGGUGGCAAGCGUUGUCCGGAAUCAUUGGGCGUAAAGCGCGCGCAGGUGGUUCCUUAAGUCUGAUGUGAAAGCCCACGGCUCAACCGUGGAGGGUCAUUGGAAACUGGGGAACUUGAGUGCAGAAGAGGAAAGUGGAAUUCCACGUGUAGCGGUGAAAUGCGUAGAGAUGUGGAGGAACACCAGUGGCGAAGGCGACUUUCUGGUCUGUAACUGACACUGAGGCGCGAAAAGCGUGGGGAGCAAACAGG
rnacentral:rRNA from 1 species